GGGGCAGGGCUGCAUGAAGGGCACCCCUCUCUGCCAAUUAGGAGCAAGAGGCAGGCUGUUGGGGCCCCUCGGCCAAUCAGUUGUGGGGGAAGGGACUUGUCGUGAAAAGACCAUGAAAAUGGCACUAGGUGUCAUGAGCAGCCUGCAAUUUUUACUACUCUUCUGCGUGCUUUAAGUAGAUCUCUAGUUAUAGGCACAUGCUGCACUUUAAGCAUGGGAAAAGUCUCAUUUAAGUCAUAGUUAUAUAAGUGAGAAGUCCCACUGCCUGAUCAUAUGCUUGAGUGCUUUGUUGCAGCAGGGUCAGCAUGACCCAGAUUUGGCCUCAGGUUUAAAUUUUGGAGGUUGGCUCUAUCUGAAUCACAUUACAGGACACAAGAGGACUGAUUUUUCAGAAAGGAUGAACACUGUGAUGGUCAGUAGAAACGGUGGGUGUUCCACAUCUCUGAAAACUAGGCACAAAUUUUAUCAGUGGCUCUCAACAUUUUUAAGCUUGAGGCACUCCUCAUUAUAUGCAAAAGACCCCUCAUUAGGCUUGAGGCACCCCUGGGAAAAUGUUAGCUCUUAGUUUUUUGACUACAGAACAAAAAUAGUUUUUCUGUUAUGAAGAACUCAAAAAAAUUAUAUGAAGUCAGAAUGUUUUUAACACUGUGGUUUCCUAUUUAGCAUCCUCGUUGAGAAUCAAUGAAUUAUACAAAGGAAGAUUGUGUGAUUAAUAGACAGGAAGCCAAAUAAAUGAACAACAGCACUGAAACAAUCAUUUACAGAGGAGAAGCCCCUGCAUUCUACACUCAUUUGCCCCAUUUGCAUGGGGUCCAUGAGAAUGAAUGAGCUUUCCAAAUCUUGAAAAAUCAACAGAAGACUUUCCAGUAACUGAAACACUUGUCAGUUCUGUAUUGUCAGAGUGACGUGCACUGCAGAUGUCCAGGACUCCAUUGACCAGUCCUCCCUUCCUCCACUCCUGGUUUUUAGAGACCUUAUCAAAAUGGCAACAUCUUUAAAUGAAAAAUGCCCUCUGGCUUUUGCUCUCAAUCUGCAUUUCUGAAGUCCUUUUGGGGUUGGUGAACUGUAGGAAGCUGGUGCAGCAUUACCACAUCACUCCUUUGCACCAGGAAGUCUGCUGGAAAGGGACAGCAGACAGGUUUCAGGGAAGUGGUGUCAGGCCUGGCUGCCACUUACAUUCAGGCCAGAGCCAAUUCUACCAGCUCUGCAUUGUCCCUGCAACUAUUCCUGGCUGAGAACACACUAAAGAUGGAAUAGAGUUUGGAGGAGAAAUGGCCUGGACAGAGCUGCACCUCCCCUGCCAGGUGCCAUGAAACUCACUAAAGCACAAGGACAAAGUAGGGCAACUUAGAGUCACAUCAGCCCCCGGAACUUCUGGAUAAGGGGAAAUGCAGAUACAGGCGUCAGCACAGGGAUAAACGUGGUCCUUAAUCCAGGCACCAACCCUUGCUGUGACCUGAUGCAGGCAUACAUAAAAACUAAACGAAAGAAGUAAAUUUUAAAGAGUUCUAUUCCUUCAAGUAUGUAGAUGAACUCAUCUGCAGGGCUGCAGCUGCCAGCAAUAAUCUAUCCAUCUCAGGAGAUGAAUAGCUAGCCCGAUAAUGAGAUCAUCUCCAUUGAAAUGAACUCCCUGCUAUUCAAUUUGCCCAGCUUCGAUUCAUGAAUUCUGCACAAACAGACUUGAGGAAGGCAACUCAACUCUGCUACAAGGAAAAUUUGAACUUUUCAAUACAGCCAUGGUUUUCAAACUGAGGAACUUCCCUAAAUAUUAAAACUUCCAAGUUUUGAUUGACUCCAGGUAUGGUGAAGCUAGAACGAUGGAUGUCAGGUAUACCUGGAAUAGAAGAACAAUUGAGGAUACUGCAAGAUAAUAUAGGGAAGAAUAAUGGAACGAACUUAAGCAAGAGAGGUCUACAGACUUUCUCAUAAAGCCAUCAUGACAGCAAUAUGCUGUCUAUCGCUUGUGGA